rnacentral:rRNA from 1 species
UACAGAGGGUGCGAGCGUUGUCCGGAAUCACUGGGCGUAAAGGGCGCGUAGGUGGCGACCCAAGUCGAUGGUGAAAGCUCGCCGCUCAACGGCGAGUCGGCCACCGAUACUGGGUUGCUCGAGCACUGUAGAGGCAGAUGGAAUUCCGGGUGUAGCGGUGGAAUGCGUAGAGAUCCGGAAGAACACCGGUGGCGAAGGCGGUCUGCUGGGCAGUAGCUGACACUGAGGCGCGACAGCGUGGGGAGCAAACAGG